UGAGUAACCUGCCCUUAACUCUGGGAUAAGCCUGGGAAACUGGGUCUAAUACCGGAUAUGACUCCUCAUCGCAUGGUGGGGGGUGGAAAGCUUUUUUGUGGUUUUGGAUGGACUCGCGGCCUAUCAGCUUGUUGGUGAGGUAAUGGCUCACCAAGGCGACGACGGGUAGCCGGCCUGAGAGGGUGACCGGCCACACUGGGACUGAGACACGGCCCAGACUCCUACGGGAGGCAG
rnacentral:rRNA from 1 species